rnacentral:rRNA from 1 species
UACGUAGGGUGCGAGCGUUAAUCGGAAUUACUGGGCGUAAAGCGUGCGCAGGCGGUUCGUUGUGUCGGCGGUGAAAGCCCCGGGCUUAACCUGGGAACGGCCGUUGAAACUGGCGAACUGGAGUGUGGCAGAGGGGGGUGGAAUUCCGCGUGUAGCAGUGAAAUGCGUAGAGAUGCGGAGGAACACCGAUGGCGAAGGCAGCCCCCUGGGCUAACACUGACGCCUCAGGCACGAAAGCGUGGGGAGCAAACAGG